AGAUCCACUUGCAGGUUGCUGCUCCCAGCCAUGGCUUCGCGCUGCUGGCGCUGGUGGGGCUGGUCGGCGUGGCCUCGGACCCGGCUGCCUCCCGCCGGGAGCACCCCGAGUAGGAGCAGGGCGCCUUUGGGGCUGGAUGGGAGCGCGGGGAGGCCUGCGAGCGCUGAGUAGGGGUCGGAGCAGAGCUGGGGCAGGGCUGGAGAAGGGUGAGACUGAAGGGGCUUCUAGGGUUAGAGACGGAGGUCAACAAAGGUGAAAAGGAGAGACUUUGAGAUCUACAGGUGUGAGACGGGGUGAAUGGAGGAUGAUACGGAGGUCUGUGGGGCGAGAGGAAAGUCUGAGUCGAAACAGGGAUCUGUAGGAAUAAGACGGGUCUAUAUGGGCAAUAUAGCGUUUUGUGGAGAGAGAGAGGGGUUAGAGGAGGGACACCGUGGGGAGACCCACGGGGGCGAGAUUGGGAUGAUAUGGAGGCCGUUGGAAGGAUGUGGGAUUCUAGCCGAUUGGAUAGGGAAUGAAGUGUUGUUGGGCA
rnacentral:lncRNA from 1 species